rnacentral:rRNA from 1 species
UACGUAGGGGGCAAGCGUUGUCCGGAUUUAUUGGGCGUAAAGAGCGUGUAGGCGGCCAUGCAGGUCCGUUGUGAAAACUCGAGGCUCAACCUCGAGACGCCGGUGGAAACCGUAUGGCUAGAGUCCGGAAGAGGAGAGUGGAAUUCCUGGUGUAGCGGUGAAAUGCGCAGAUAUCAGGAAGAACACCCGUGGCGAAGGCGGCUCUCUGGGACGUGACUGACGCUGAGACGCGACAGCGUGGGGAGCAAACAGG